rnacentral:lncRNA from 12 species
CACAGUGCACUUUUGGAAAGCAAAAACUGAUCUCAGACCAUGCUGGACUGCCCAGCUGUGUCACUUCACACUGGGAGAGCAGUCACUGCAUCUUUCCACGCCCUGCUUCGGGGCUGCACUAAGGUGACAAUUUGGGAAGUACACGUAAAUGAAUGAUCUGAAGCGUGUGACACCAGCCCCUGUGAUGGCCAACCCCAAACUCCCCUUUCAGACAGGGUGAAAAGAUGAACCCCCGUGACACUGCAGCCCUGGCACAGGUUUGAUGGAGUGCUCUAAGUGUGGUGGAUGUGGCUCAGGGGAGCCACAUUAGCUGCAAAUAUCUUUAAAGCAGCUGCCGAUUUAAAAAUGCAUAAAACGCAGAAGAAACGAAGCCAUAGCCAAACCUGUUAGUGAUAAAAUUGGAAAGAGAAGCUCUGUGUGCCCAGCUGGUUAAAUCAUGAUGGAGGGCAAAAUCGAGUGAAAAAUAAACACCAGAUUUAGAAGCACACUUGAUAUAUCUGGCAGGCUGCAGGAGCUGGUGCCACUAAAGAAGAGAUGUCUACAGCCACGUCAAAACUGCCCAGUUCUGUUCAGACCUACACAAAAUAUUGGUACCCUGCAGGAGCUGGUGCCACUAAAGAAGAGAUGUCUACAGCCACGUCAAAACUGCCCAGUUCUGUUCAGACCUACACAAAAUAUUGGUACCCUGCAGGGUCUCAGCCACCUGCACUCGAGCAGCAGUGAGCAGUGACCCAGCUCCUCCCCUGCUGUUCCUGCUGACAGACAGGACUGGACUCAGACUCUCAGAACAGAUUCAUC